CUGAAGCUCAGCAGUGACGAAGAUGACAAGGACGAGGGAAGUGAGCAAACAACUUCCUGGGCUGAUAAUGACCGCUUGUCAGGCCAGCAGCAGCACCGCACAAACACACACGUCGGAAGAGUGAGACAUUCUAGCUCAGGGUCUUCAGGAUCAGACCCUUCCAGCGAGUGGGAGAGCAGCAGCCAGCGGUCACGCAGCCCGAGCCCAGGGACGCACAACCGGUGCGGGACACCGACCCAACAGCGGACCCUAAUCUGCAG
rnacentral:lncRNA from 1 species